rnacentral:misc_RNA from 1 species
CGGACUACUCGGGUUUCUAAUCCUGUUUGCUCCCCACGCUUUCGAGCCUCAGCGUCAGUAAAGCCCCAGCAAGCCGCCUUCGCCACUGGUGUUCCUCCCAAUAUCUAUGCAUUUCACCGCUACACUGGGAAUUCCGCUUGCCUCCGACUCACUCAAGAAAAACAGUUUCAAAAGCAGGCUAUGGGUUGAGCCCAUAGUUUUCACUUCUGACUUGCUUUCCCGCCUACGCUCCCUUUACACCCAGUAAUUCCGGACAACGCUCGCCACCUACGUAUUACCGCGGCUGCUGGCACUU